rnacentral:rRNA from 1 species
GUUCCUACGGGAGGCAGCAGUGGGGAUUAUUGGGCAAUAGGCGAAAGCCUGACCCAGCAAUGCCGCGUGAAUGAAGAAGGUCUUAGGAUUGUAAAACUCUAUUGGUAGAGAAGAACGUUGGUGAGAGUGGAAAGCUCAUCAAGUGACGGUAACUACCCAGAAAGGGACGGCUAACUACGUGCCAGCAGCCGCGGUAAUACGUAGGUCCCGAGCGUUGUCCGGAUUUAUUGGGCGUGAAGCGAGCGCAGGUGGUUUAUUAAGUCUGGUGUAAAAGGCAGUGGCUCAACCAUUGUAUGCAUUGGAAA